CGUACACUCCUGCGGGAGGCAGCAGUGGGGAAUAUUGGACAAUGGGCGCAAGCCUGAUCCAGCCAUGCCGCGUGAGUGAUGAAGGCCCUAGGGUUGUAAAGCUCUUUCACCGGUGAAGAUAAUGACGGUAACCGGAGAAGAAGCCCCGGCUAACUUCGUGCCAGCAGCCGCGGUAAUACGAAGGGGGCUAGCGUUGUUCGGAUUUACUGGGCGUAAAGCGCACGUAGGCGGACUAUUAAGUCAGGGGUGAAAUCCCGGGGCUCAACCCCGGAACUGCCUUUGAUACUGGUAGUCUUGAGUUCGAGAGAGGUGAGUGGAAUUCCGAGUGUAGAGGUGAAAUUCGUAGAUAUUCGGAGGAACACCAGUGGCGAAGGCGGCUCACUGGCUCGAUACUGACGCUGAGGUGCGAAAGCGUGGGGAGCAAACAGGAUUAGAUACCCCAGUAGCCAUG
rnacentral:rRNA from 1 species